rnacentral:misc_RNA from 1 species
CCGAGUUGUAACACUCACAAACCCACUGCAAACGUACCCAUUUUGGCGACUCCGGCAGGCGGCCCCAGGGCGGGGCCUCAGCUUCUUCAGGCGCCUGCCGAAGGUGCCGCAACUUUACUCUGUAAUCAUGUAUUCUGAGUCCUAAGACAAAAUAUCA